rnacentral:rRNA from 1 species
AGGACGAACGCUGGCGGCGUGCCUAAUACAUGCAAGUCGAGCGGACAGAAGGGAGCUUGCUCCCGGAUGUUAGCGGCGGACGGGUGAGUAACACGUGGGUAACCUGCCUGUAAGACUGGGAUAACUCCGGGAAACCGGAGCUAAUACCGGAUAGUUCCUUGAACCGCAUGGUUCAAGGAUGAAAGACGGUUUCGGCUGUCACUUACAGAUGGACCCGCGGCGCAUUAGCUAGUUGGUGGGGUAAUGGCUCACCAAGGCGACGAUGCGUAGCCGACCUGAGAGGGUGAUCGGCCACACUGGGACUGAGACACGGCCCAGACUCCUACGGGAGGCAGCAGUAGGGAAUCUUCCGCAAUGGACGAAAGUCUGACGGAGCAACGCCGCGUGAGUGAUGAAGGUUUUCGGAUCGUAAAGCUCUGUUGUUAGGGAAGAACAAGUGCGAGAGUAACUGCUCGCACCUUGACGGUACCUAACCAGAAA